UGGGGAAUUUUGGACAAUGGGCGCAAGCCUGAUCCAGCCAUGCCGCGUGGGUGAAGAAGGCCUUCGGGUUGUAAAGCCCUUUUGUCCGGAAAGAAAAGUUCUGGGUUAAUAGCCUAGGAUCAUGACGGUACCGGAAGAAUAAGCACCGGCUAACUUCGUGCCAGCAGCCGCGGUAAUACGGAGGGUGCAAGCGUUAUCCGGAUUUACUGGGUUUAAAGGGUGUGUAGGCGGAUUAUUAAGUCAGAUGUGAAAGCCCUGGGCUCAACCUGGGAACUGCAUUUGAUACUGGAUCACUAGAGUGCGGUAGAGGAUAGUGGAAUUCCCGGUGUAGCAGUGAAAUGCGUAGAGAUCGGGAGGAACACCAGUGGCGAAGGCGACUAUCUGGACCAGCACUGACACUGAGGCACGAAAGCGUGGGGAGCAAACA
rnacentral:rRNA from 1 species